rnacentral:rRNA from 1 species
UACGGAGGGUGCAAGCGUUAUCCGGAUUCACUGGGUUUAAAGGGAGCGCAGGCGGACUUGUAAGUCAGUGGUGAAAUACCUGAGCUUAACUCGGGAACUGCCAUUGAUACUAUAGGUCUUGAAUGUUGUUGAGGUUUGCGGAAUGGGUCAUGUAGCGGUGAAAUGCAUAGAUAUGACCCGGAACACCUAUUGCGGAGGCAGCAGGCUAAACAAAUAUUGACGCUGAGGCUCGAAAGCGUGGGGAUCAAACAGG